GGGCCAGUAGCUCAGUUGGCAGAGCACCGGACUUUUAAUCCGGGUGUCGGAGGUUCGAUUCCUCCCUGGCUCACCA
rnacentral:tRNA from 1 species